CCUACGGGUGACAGCAGUGAGGAAUAUUGGUCAAUGGGCGUAAGCCUGAACCAGCCAAGUCGCGUGAGGGAUGAAGGUUCUAUGGAUCGUAAACCUCUUUUAUAAGGGAAUAAAGUGUGGGACGUGUCCUGUUUUGUAUGUACCUUAUGAAUAAGGAUCGGCUAACUCCGGGCCAGCAGCCGCGGUAAUACGGAGGAUCCGAGCGUUAUCCGGAUUUAUUGGGUUUAACGGGUGCGUAGGCGGCCUGUUAAGUCAGCGGUGAAAGUCUGUGGCUCAACCAUAGAAUUGCCGUUGAAACUGGGAGGCUUGAGUAUGUUUGAGGCAGGCGGAAUGCGGGGUGUAGCGGUGAAAUGCUUAGAUAUCACGCAGAACCCCGAUUGCGAAGGCAGCCUGCCAAGCCAUGACUGACGCUGAUGCACGAAAGCGUGGGGAUCAAACAGGAUUAGAUACCCGUGUAGUC
rnacentral:rRNA from 1 species